rnacentral:lncRNA from 1 species
UCUGUGGCUGUCCCAACAAUGUCAAGUUUGCGACUUCCUCACUUGGCUCUUCAAACUGCUCUUCUUCUUUGUCACUUGCACUUUGUGGCUUUUCCAACAAGGUCGAAUUUGAGACUUCAUCACUUGGCUCUCCAAACUGCUCUUCUUCUUUGCUACUUGCUCUUUGUGGCUGUUCCAACAAGGUCAAUUUUGCGACUUCAUCACUUGGCUCAGCAAACUUCUCUAGUUCUUUAUUAGAACUUGGUCUGUGUGGCUGUUCCAACAAGGUCAACUUCUCGACUUCAUCACUCGGCUCUGCAAACUUCUCAAGUUCUUUAUUGCAACUUGGCCG